UGCAGUCGAGCGACAGAUAGGAGCUCUGCUUCUUCUGACGUUAGCGGCGGACGGGUGAGUAACACGUGGGUAACCUACCUAUAAGACUGGGAUAACUUCGGGAAACCGGAGCUAAUACCGGAUAACAUCCGGAACCGCAUGGUUCUAAAGUGAAAGAUGGUUCCGCCAUCACUUAUAGAUGGACCCGCGCCGUAUUAGCUAGUUCGGUAAGGUAACGGCUUACCAAGGCGACGAUACGUAGCCGACCUGAGAGGGUGAUCGGCCACACUGGAACUGAGACACGGUCCAGACUCCUACGGGAGGCAGCAGUAGGGAAUCUUCCGCAAUGGGCGAAAGCCUGACGGAGCAACGCCGCGUGAGUGAUGAAGGGUUUCGGCUCGUAAAACUCUGUUAUUAGGGAAGAACAAACGUGUAAGUAACUGUGCAUGUCUUGACGGUACCUAAUCAGAAAGCCACGGCUAACUACGUGCCAGCAGCCGCGGUAAUACGUAGGUGGCAAGCGUUAUCCGGAAUUAUUGGGCGUAAAGCGCGCGUAGGCGGUUUCUUAAGUCUGAUGUGAAAGCCCACGGCUCACCCGUGGAGGGUCAUUGGAAACUGGGAACUUGAGUGCAGAAGAGGAAAGUGGAAUUCCAUGUGUAGCGGUGAAAUGCGCAGAGAUAUGGAGGAACACCAGUGGC
rnacentral:rRNA from 1 species